AUAUAUAUAUAUAUAUAUAUAUAUAUCACGUGUCUAUCUGUCUCCUGUCUGUCUGUAGUUAAUAUCCGUUUUGGUAAGCGAUUAUUGUUUCAAAAUCUGUUCGAUUUUACGUAUUCCAAGAGAGGCGUGUCGUAUAGUUUGUGUAUUUUUUUUUUUUUUCAGGUAUCCCGGACUUUCCAUAAAAAAAAGUUCGUUGGCGUAGUAAACUGAUUACCGAAUACAAAAAACUUUGGAACCUAAUUAGCCAAGGAAGUCCAGUAUAUUGAAAUUCACGGCGAAGGAAGACUUGCAGGGUCGACCCCGAGCGAAGAGAGGGUAUUUCUGUCGGCUACCGUGAUGCCUCACUGCCUAGUACGAGCGGUCUUUCUUCCCCCUCAGUUUGAGAACAGUAAGGAGUUUUUGCUGCAUCUUCACCACUGCCCGCUCAUCUUGCCUAUGUAAGAUCGCAGAGGAUAUGUUGGGCUAGACAGUUUAGAAUGGAAGAGGGCAAAAUGCCUAAAGUGGUUAUGGAAGGAUCAGUAGAAGACCAGCAGAGAGACCAAGGAUGAGAUCAGUAGAAGGGAGAAGACCAGUGGGGAGACCAAGGAUGAGAUAAAAAGAUAAUGUGUUCAGGGAUCCAAGAGAAUUGGGAGAUGAGGAUCCUGAGAAUAACUAGAGAGAUGCAGCACUCAACAGGGGAACAUGGAGAGGUCUGGUGCAAGCAGGCAUGGGCCCUAAAGAGCUACUGAAGUGAGAGUGUUUCACUAAUAUGCCUUUAUUUCUACUUUCAAGAAAGAUUCUCGACAGCCUCUCUAUACUGGGUUGUUGCUAGAUACUAGUGGGCAUCUUGUUAUGAGAACUCACAUGUAACUGAAGCAGUAAUCUUUUACAAAGGUUACUUUCUUAUAUACGUACUGACAAAUCUAUCCCAUAAUAAUUGCACAUCCCUGGGACUAGCUGUUGACAAAUCAUAACCCAUUUGGUGUUUUAUAACCCAAAAAUGUGGGAAUUAUGAUGAAGAUAAGUGUGUAAUUAAAUCAGUGUUGCCAGAAAUGUAGAAAAAAAUAUGUUAAACAGAAAACAAAAAUUUCAGGGAAUAUGCCAGAAUCUUUGGUGUGUUUUGGCCGACAAAAAGAUUCAUACCUAAAAACAUUGAUCCAAGACCAGUGUCCCAUCUUAAUGGUUAAUAUCUUGAACAGUUGGUUGAGGUUCUGAACAAUAUCUAUGGAAAAUGUAAGUAAUUUAAGGCUUCAAGAGAAAAAUAUAUGUAAAUCUAACACUAUAAAACCCCCUCAAACUAAAUCCCACCCCAUCUAGCUGUCAUGCAAUUCAAUAUAAAACAUAUUAAAUCUACUUUACAUUGCAUUAAACUUUAUGUUGCUAUGAUUAACCUGGAGAACAAACAGUAAAAUACUCUCAAGUCUUAGGAAUUAACAUACAACAAAAUUACUCAAAGGACAAAUUAUCAUGAGAGUGUAGUCACUACUCUAAGCUCACAUAAAUAAACCUGUAGUAUACCGCAAGUGUACAAUAAUCAUGCUGAACAGAGAGAACUAUUCUUUUUAGAACAGGCACACAAGGCUAAAAAUAAAAAAAAACCAUGAUUGAUCAAAAGAUUUUCUAAUAAUCCUAAAUUAAAAUCUAUA